rnacentral:rRNA from 1 species
UGGGGAAUCUUGCGCAAUGGCCGAAAGGCUGACGCAGCGACGCCGCGUGUGGGAUGACGGUCUUCGGAUUGUAAACCACUGUCGGGAGGGACGAAGUUCUGACGGUACCUCCAAAGGAAGCACCGGCUAACUCUGUGCCAGCAGCCGCGGUAAUACAGAGGGUGCGAGCGUUGUCCGGAAUCACUGGGCGUAAAGGGCGCGUAGGCGGCCUGGUAAGUCGGGGGUGAAACGCUGCGGCUCAACCGCAGCACUGCCUUCGAGACUGUCAGGCUGGAGCACGGUAGAGGCUGGUGGAAUUCCCGGUGUAGCGGUGGAAUGCGUAGAGAUCCGGAAGAACACCGGUGGCGAAGGCGGCCUGCUGGGCAGUAGCUGACGCUGAGGCGCGACAGCGUGGGGAGCAAACA